rnacentral:rRNA from 1 species
AACGCUAGCGGCAGGCCUAACACAUGCAAGUCGAGGGGUAACGGGGAAAAGCUUGCUUUUCCGCUGACGACCGGCGCACGGGUGCGUAACGCGUAUGCAACCUACCUUUUACAGGAGUAUAGCCCAGAGAAAUUUGGAUUAAUCCUCCAUAAUAUCUUUUUCUUGCAUAAGACAAAGAUUAAAGCUUCGGUGGUAAAAGAUGGGCAUGCGUUUUAUUAGCUAGUAGGUGAGGUAACGGCUCACCUAGGCCACGAUAAAUAGGGGCCCUGAGAGGGGGAUCCCCCACACUGGUACUGAGACACGGACCAGACUCCUACGGGAGGCAGCAGUGAGGAAUAUUGGACAAUGGACGAAAGUCUGAUCCAGCCAUGCCGCGUGCAGGAUGACGGCCUUAUGGGUUGUAAACUGCUUUUAUACAGGAAGAAACACUCCCACGUGUGGGGGCUUGACGGUACUGUACGAA